UACAUGUGGGGCAAGCGUUGUUCGGAAUUACUGGGCAUAAAGGGUGCGUAGGUGGCUUGUUAAGUCAGGGGUGAAAGUUUUCGGCCCAACCGGAAAAUGGCCUUUGAUACUGGCGAGCUCGAGUGCGUGAGGGGUAACCGGAACGAGCAGUGUAGCGGUGAAAUGCGUAGAUAUUGCUCGGAAGGCCAACGGCGAAGGCAGGUUACUGGUACGCAACUGACACUGAGGCACGAAAGCGUGGGGAGCAAACAGG
rnacentral:rRNA from 1 species